AAAACAAUGAAACAACAGAAACACUGAAGUGCAAAAAAACAAACGACAAUGCAACGCACACAGAAACGUACUGUAAGAUAACACAACUGCCAUUUUUCCUGACUUGGUACAGGACAUUGUAAGAAAAAUGGUGGUUGAACCUCGUUUUGUGGCUAGCCAAACAUCGCGCUUUUAUGGCAAUGUUAAAUAACACUAAAAUGACAACAUUUCAU
rnacentral:lncRNA from 1 species